rnacentral:rRNA from 1 species
AUUGAACGCUGGCGGCAUGCUUUACACAUGCAAGUCGAACGGUAACAGGCCGCAAGGUGCUGACGAGUGGCGAACGGGUGAGUAAUGCAUCGGAACGUGCCCAGUCGUGGGGGAUAACUGCUCGAAAGAGCAGCUAAUACCGCAUACGAUCUAUGGAUGAAAGCGGGGGACCGUAAGGCCUCGCGCGAUUGGAGAGGCCGAUGUCAGAUUAGGUAGUUGGUGGGGUAAAGGCGCACCAAGCCAACGAUCUGUAGCUGGUCUGAGAGGACGACCAGCCACACUGGGACUGAGACACGGCCCAGACUCCUACGGGAGGAAGCAGUGGGGAAUUUUGGACAAUGGGGGCAACCCUGAUCCAGCAAUGCCGCGUGCAGGAAGAAGGCCUUCGGGUUGUAAACUGCUUUUGUACGGAACGAAACGGUCUGGGUUAAUACCCUGGGCUAAUGACGGUACCGUAAGAAUAAGCACCGGCUAACUACGUGCCAGCCGCCGCAGUAACAC